UACGAAGGGAGCUAGCGUUGUUCGGAAUCACUGGGCGUAAAGCGCACGUAGGCGGAUGUGUCAGUCAGGGGUGAAAUCCUGGAGCUCAACUCCAGAACUGCCUUUGAUACUGGCGAUCUCGAGUCCGGGAGAGGUGAGUGGAACUGCGAGUGUAGAGGUGAAAUUCGUAGAUAUUCGCAAGAACACCAGUGGCGAAGGCGGCUCACUGGCCCGGUACUGACGCUGAGGUGCGAAAGCGUGGGGAGCGAACAGG
rnacentral:rRNA from 1 species